rnacentral:lncRNA from 1 species
AGGGUAAGGGUUGGGAUUUUGGGUUGAUUUUUUUUGGUUUGCAAUAUUGUAUUUUUUGUUUGAGUUUGGUUUUUGAUUGAGAAGAGUUGGGACUGUUAAUAAAAUAAUAUGGCGGCAGGGCGACCUGAUGUUUCUAGGAGAAGGGAGUAUUAUGGAUACUACAAAAAAGAUGAAUAAGUUUCUCGUUACAAAAAUGGCUCUGGUAAAUUAUGAAUUGGGUCAUAAUGGUGGUGAUCACAAGCGGAGAAAUGGCUACCCUUUUUUGUCAAACGGCUAUAACCAACGUGGUGAAGCCCGGUCAGAUGACACACCAUGUAUCAAUAAUGGUGAAGUGUCGAAGUGUGACGAUGGGGUCUUCAGUUGCCUUGCCUCCGAGGAAGAAAUUCAAGUUUACACCCAUUAUAUGGGACUUAGAAGAGAGGAAGUGAGCAUUUCGCCUAAGAACAGAGCUGUACCUACAACUUGUAGGCCAAGUUUGUUCAAUCUUAGGAGUCUGGAUUUGAUUUUGUUAAACAAACUUUUGACUUACGACCCUGAGAAGUCAUGGUCUGUUUUGACAUAGUUCUAAAUUUGAUUUCUGAUUGUUGGCUUCAAGUCCAAACCUGUAAAGGCAUUUUAGUUAUGGUAUUUUAUUGUUUUAUGCAGCAAAUAACAGUAGAUGACGCCCUUAAUCACUCAUGCCUAUAUAAUCCAGAAAACUUUUUGAUCAAGAAUGUUGUUGAAGAGGCGUACUGAGACUCUGGAUUCAGAGAUUGCACAUUGGCGACAGUCGAUAAAAGCGCAUGUUUUCUGUGGCAUGCCAUUAAAGAGGCACUUCUAUUAAUUGCAUGGGUGUGAACCAACUACAUGGACGCGUGAUUGGGACUCCAAAAUAGAUUGAGUAUCAUUUCAUUUUUUUUUUAACCCUUUUCUGAUCUUUGUUAGGAAUAUUGAAUUCUGUACUAAUGUUUUGCGAAUCCCGAUGUAUGCAUAGAAAUGUAGGAGCUACCUGUUCUGUGUGACAAAAAGGAUUAAAGGAAAAGAAAUGGACAUUACUUCGGGUUUCUGUCUGUGAUCUCCAAGUCUGUAUGUCAAUGGAGCUCGUCUCUUUGCUUGAGUCAUGGUUUCCCCCUGGUUUGAUGAUUAGUUUUACUAAAUCAUUUCUUUGUACGUAUUCUGGUUAGAUUAUUGAGAGGGAAAAAAACUGAAUACUGAACAGUGUUAUGAUCAAAAUGUUAUUCAUUAGUGACUAACAGAGGAAUUGAUGCAUUUAGCGGGGAACAUGUUACAGACAUCAAUACAUUUGAGGUAACGAAAAUGCAAUAUUCUUUCCCGUGUUUGGUAAUGCACUUCGACAAAAUAUGUAUCACUAUCAUAAACUCUCUGCAUCAGUCAUUUUCGACAAGCAACAGGAUAUAUCUAAACUGACUGCACUCAGGCCUUCACUCUGUUACCGAUGAAGCAGGUGUUGGGGACAUCAGAAGAAGAGGAAAAACAAUGUGCAAAUUUGGGUGGGUUUUCUGAAUGAUCUCGUAUAAAUAUCAUUUGGUAGUAAAGCUUAUGGUUUUUCAAAGCGCAAAAAAAAAAAAAAAAAAAAAAAAAAGAACGAGGCAGUUGGAUGAAGAAUAUUGUAUUGAUGAGAGUCCAAUCAAUUGUCCAUCCAAAUACAAUGGCUCCACCGGGACUGGAUUGCAAAUAUGUUACUGCAGAAUCAAAGAAAUUAGUUCGAGUAAACAUCAUAUGUAGAUACAUAAUGGAGAACUACUUAAAGCUACAAAGAAAAAUCAUCAUGACUAUGAAGGCAAGAUGGAUUGACGACGCACCAUACUAAUCACAAGGCAUUUUAAUAGCAGACAGUGAUUAAAGAUGAAACGGUAACUUCAGCUUUUCUUUUUCCAGUAAAUAUCUCUCUGACAUUUUGUAGUGUGUAUCAGAUGAACUAAAAGGAAAAGGAAAAUUUUCAUGAAAAGGCAUGAGAUGAUAUUCCAAGACUUUUAUCCCGAUCUAUAUGUCAAUUUUGGGCACCCAUAACAUUUCUUUUGAAUUACCUGAAUUCAAGAGAAAUCUGUGUGAACCCCAGUAGUAACACUAAGGGGUUGAUUAGAUGCCUGCCGACAUCAAAACGAGUUUCUUUAGAUCAAACCAGGUGGAAGAGAGAACUUAUGUCGGUCAUUUAACUAAGACAGGGUCUGUAUGCAGGCAAAUGCAAGAGUACUGAUGCAAAUAAGAGACUAAAAGUUAAAACAACGCAUAAAGCCCUCAACCAUGUAGAAUUGUCCACUUCUGAACUUCUUCCAUACAAUGGAGAUUCACUGAAGAGAAAAAUCAAGUCCCUUUACCAGUAAGGUUGACACUUGGCAGUGUCUAAGGGCAACCCUCAAUGGGUAGCUGAGAUCACAAGUUCUAGACGGUAGUUGAGAUAACAAGUUUUAGACGGUGUAAUUAUUGUAGCAAAACCAUGACCAGGACAAAGCUAUGGAAUCAUUUAAUAACAAUCCAACGACAGGUUCUUUGGAUUACUGAUAACAUAUUCAAGGAAUAAGGAUUGAUUCAAGUCAUAGGCAACUAAAUCUGGAAGAAUUAAAAUCACAUUCUUAAUGUAGGUAUUGAGCUUGAUGGAGAGGCAGUCUCUAGGCUAUCCCUGCUAUUUGUCGUUCCCAGAUGAGAAGCAUCACUGGGGGCUGCAUGUGACUGAAGCAUGCCAUCUGCGAGCAACAGAUCCAAGAUCCUGCAUUCAGGCAAAUAAUUAUUCCAAUGAGCUCAAUAAUAGUGGAAACCUGCAAAAAUCAAAAUUAAGAAGCAUGAGUUUGCAAAGCUAACACAGAUUUCUGAGAACUGAAUUUCUAGACAGAAAUUAACGAAACUUUCAUUGACAAUAAUAUCAUCCAAGUUUAAUCUAUUUAUGACUUGCAACUUUACAAAGUGUCUGAGCACUUACUGCAAAAUCACCGCCAUUAACAAAACUGACGAUUCCACUUUUCCCUAUGGUUUCCAACAGAGCCACAAAUUGAGUUGCUGUCACAACCAAGAACUCUAGAAGCAGAAAUAUCCAGAACCUGUGGCUUAUCUUAGAGAGAUUGUAUUUUAAAAGCGUGUGUUCCUACCGAAACAUCUAAAUCUCUUUCCAAAAGAUUGCCAUAAUUUUCAAAGUGAAUCACCUGCAAAUUGCACACAAAAUGGAACAAAGCAGUGCCUGAUAGAUAGAUUAGAGUCGAGUAAGUCCAUGAUACAAGCAAUGCAACUACUACACCAACAGAUUGCCACCAGGAACUUAAUAUUAAAAAUAAUAAUUACGUUUUAUCUUUCUAAACACCUAAGCAAUUAAGUAUCAUAUUACCACCACAACUAUUGUAAAUUCUCACCAGUAUUAAAGUUUUGAUCUAUUAAGUUCAUAAUUUUUAUAUUUUAUUUUUAUUCUCUAUUAUAGGAUUUAAUGAUCCUUGCAUGUGACUAUGUAAAAUUUUUUGAAUUAUGAAUAAUUUCACAUGAAAUUUAAUCACGACUUUUAAGUUCAAUUUCAUAAACACAACUUUUAACACUCACUCUAUUUAUAUAUAUUUUUUUCUAUAGUUAUGGUAUUUAUUGCAACAAGUUUAAUGUGAAUAUAAUAUAUAUUACCUUUUAUUUUAUUUGAAUUAUGUAUUAAUAUAGAUUUUUAUCAUAUUUUAUGUAACAAAUUGUGAAGUUCAUCAUAUUUUAUUUAAUUAAAUUUUUGUCACUUUAUGUAAUUUUAUAUGGUUUAAAAAGAAAAAGACAUGUUUUAAAAUAAUUAAACAUACUAAAAAAUAAUUUAAAAUUAUAUAUAUUUUAAUCAUUAUACAAUAGAAAAACACUUUUGUAAAAAUAAUUACCAAACGCACGUACAUUGUUUUUAAACUAACAACAACUAUAGAACACAAUUUAUCAAACAUUAAACUAUUUUUUCAAUCAGUAGCUUAUUGUAUUGAUGCAGUAGAAAUAAUUUAUUUAAUCAACAACUGCAAUCCCAAACUGGCCCUCAAUCUUAUAAAUGAUAUUGAUCGAAAUGAUUUUAGACAUGGUGUUCUGUGUUCAAAUACUAAUGAAUAAUAUUAUUGACAUAGCUAGCAUCUGAUUCUUAUAAGCAGGGUUUGUUGCAAUCAAAAUGCUUUUACACCUGGUAGCAAAUCCAUGAAUGAAAUGUUGUUCAUCCAGAACAGUGCAAUGAUGAAAUAACAAGCGAUUGAUCUUUUAUUAUUGCAAUUAGGGUAAUUGUACACACAAUUAGCCAUUUAUUCAGAGUCUAGAUGAUCCCUUGGGAUGACGCAUGACUAUGAAUGUAGAGGCUUUGCACUGUCCGGAGAACAUCUUGCAAGCGACCCACAAAUCUGGGUGUCUCUGGAAUUAAUUGGGAUGUAAAAGGCUUAACUAAUUUCCUGGACUGUUAGAUCCAACUCAUUUGGGCUUCAAAUUCACUUCAAGCCUCAUGUGUAACGAGUAUAUCGGACCAAUUAUUUCGAUUAAAAGAGAAAAGGACAUACCAAUAAUGUUAUAUAAAAUUUAAGGGUAAUUUUCAGUGUCAUCCCCUGAGAUUUGGGGUCCCUUCACUUAGAUAGAAUGUAUCAAGGUAUCUCCACUUUGCACCCCCAUCGUUAGUAUAAAGUUUAAUAUAUAUUAAGUAUGUAAGGACAUUUAAGUAAUUGUAUGUUAAAUUGAUUAAAUAUUAAAAAACGUUUUGAAUUUUUUCACUUUGGAAAGUGGAAUAUGUUAGAAACAUUGUUAUGUUCAAUGGGUAAUAAUAGAAGCAUGUUAGUAUUACAUGGGUUUUACACCAAAUCUAAAAGAAUCAAUAUUUGCUGGGUAAUAACAUAUUCAUGUAAGUGUAGGGUUACCAAAUCUAAAAUAAUCAAUAUCUGCUGGGUAAUAAGAUAAGCAUGUUAUUGUUCAACGGAUUUUACACUAAAUUGAAAACAAUAAUUUGUUUAAUUUGUUUAAUUUUUAACUUCACAAAUCGAAAAAGCAAAUUCAUAUCACCAUUACAGCUCCAGAGCGAAUUCCUUGCUGUGACAAACAAAAUUAUUGGGACUGUAUGAAAAAGCCAUGCAAGAGAAGGAUGAAUUCAAAAGAAUGAUUUCUUUAAGUGGACAAAACAGAGCUGAAGCAAGCAGAGAGAUUUAUUGCCCAGAAAAGCUCGUUGAAAUUGAUGGAGGUAAGCAGCACAUCACGUCUGUUGAACCUGGUCUCCCAGCAUUGAAUGGGCAGGAUAGAGGAGAAAAUUCUAGAUUUGAAAAUCUUAAGUCUGGAGAGAGCAUUUCCAGAAUGGAUGUGCAUAAUGAAUUUAGCCUAUAUACUGGGAAUUCUCAAGCUAAUAAAGAAACUCACAUCAGUUCUUAAGUUGAAGGUCUCCAUUCGUCAGAAAAAACUCCUGAUUCUGCAGAAGCUGCCUUACUGACAUGGAAACAGAGCAGUUGAAUCUUACUAACAUAAAGGUCCCUGAAGAUCUAAAUUUGGUCAGACUGAAGCUGGAAAAAGCCCAAGAGAAGCUUUCAGAUUCUGCUAAUACUAUUACUCUUGUAGUGAUUUAACACCCCUUAAGAUUCAAGAUGCUAAGCCACUGCCCAGGAGACUCAAGUUCUUGAUCAAACAAGUUGCAUAAGAAACCAAGAUCAGAUAUCUAGUAUUCAACUCAAUUCCAAUAGGCUCUAGAUCUAAUGAUUAAUAACAGUGUUUUAACCUAAACAAGAAACAAUUCACAACACGCAAGAACAGAAUAUUACGUGGUUCAAUUGUGCAUUACAUGCACAAUUUACAUCCACGGGAAAAGCCACAGGAAAAGCUUUAUUGAUGAAUCAAGAAGACAAAUACAGAACUUCUCAAGAUGAGAUUACAAGCAUCAAGAUUACACUCUCUCACUUUCUGAUCUCUCUCUCAAGCUCUUUCUGAACCACGUAUUUCUCCCUCAGCGACCAGUUUUAUACCCCUGAUGCUGAAACCCAGAUCGCACAGAAUCUGGACACGUGUGUAACGGCUUUUAACAGCCUUGAUUCCCCUCUUCACGAGCUGGCUCACGUGCUUCACUUUUGUUUCUCCAAAACGACAGAUGCUGAGUCGUUUAGCCUUUGAACUUAAAAGCCACGUGCUGCACGUGACAAAUGACUGAAUCAUUUGAUUAAAACAAACCGUUUUGGGACUCUGAGUUUUGGAUUCAUUGCACUCAAGUCCACAACUCUAUUAGGUUCGGUUGAGAAAGCAUUCGCUGAGGUUGAUAAACUCUCUGGAGAUAUUGUAGCUAUGGAAGAUAGUAUCCAGGCCAAGCAACAACAGUGCGGUUCCCUCAAACACCUUUGUUCUGAAAUGCAAGAGAGAAAAGCGCUUGUGGAUAAUAAAUUGAUGGCACUCAAGUAUUCUUUGUCAAGUUUUUCUUCAUCGGCAGCAUACUUUGAACAGAGAGCAGCUCGAUCAAGAGCUAGGGUAACUACUUCAUCGACUUACCUGAAUCAGAGAAAAGAGCAAUUGGUGCAUUUGGAAUGCUGCAAGAGAGAAAUUGAAGAUGCUCUAAGAAAGGUUCAACGAUCUGAAGCUGAAUUGAUGAAUAACCUUGCACUUUUGAAGUCAAAACUUGAGGAAGAGAACAAAAGGGAAGAGAACAAAAGGCAAGAGAAUAAAAAGGUUCUUUUUGCUAUAGAUAACAUUGAAAAAGUAGACCAUCCACAGAUUGGAAUUUGGGUGGUAAAGCUACUGGGUUGCUGAAGUCCAAGGAAGAGAAAACCAAGCUGCAAACUGAGUUGAAGUUGUGUCGGGAAAGGCUUGGACUUGUAAAAAGGGAAUUUGAGGAUUUGACUAAGAAAUCCUGGAAGAUAGAUAGUGACUUGCAAACUGUUCAAAUGGAGAUACAGAAAAGUUCAAGAUCCGUCGAAGAGAUGGAACUUGCACACCAGGCUGUACUCCAAGAACAAAAAGCUCUUUUGGAGAUUAGAGAGAAGGGAAAAACAGAAAUCGAAAGCAUGAUUCUUUUUUUUUUUUUUCCUUGGGUGCUGAUACAACAAAUGAUAAGUGUAUUUGUCAUGGAUUUGAUUGAGAUCUUGAUGUAAUUUGUCGCUAAAUGUGUGAAUGAUCUAGUCACAGUACAUAUCUAGAAUAUUGUGUACUGACAUAAAGGUAUUUUAGUUAUUUACUCAGUCAAUUAACAGUCAACUAAACUUUAUACUAACGGUGGGGGUGCAAAGUGAAAAUAUCUUAAUACAUUCUAUCUAAGUGAAGGGACCCCAAACCUCAGGGGAUGGAACUGAAAAUUACCCUAAAAUUUAAUUAUUAUGACUAAAUGGGAAAUUACAAACAAAGCAAAGACUAAAUGGGCCAGAAACAGAAAAACGGAAAGUAUUGUGGAAGGAAAAAAAUUUCAGAACAAAUUCGGGCCACCAGUUCUAAACCGACUUAAAAAAAUACACGCUCUUGCGCAUAUAAAAAAUCUCAAGAGAUCCCCUAGAACGCAAACGCGUUGACUAAGAAGCUCCGUAGCUGUGCGAUAUCGUUUCGAUUUGGUCCUGAUAUCGUUGGUCCUGAUAUCGUUGGUCAUUCCCUUGUCUCUCCAUCAAUCUCCGGUAAGAUCUUCAUUACCUGUGAAUUUUGAAGGAGAGACAGCCGUAAGCACCAAAAUUCAUCUUCUAGGGUUUUGUUUGUGCUUUGAUUCGCAUCUCAAUUUUUUUUUUUAAUUUUUUACCUUCAUUAAUCAUCAUAAUUUGUUUGAUUUCAAUACCUGAUCUGUAUUCUUGAUCUGAUUUUCGUGUUUUUGACUAUUGAAGUAUUGUUGUAUACUUGAUUAGGGUUUUGUGGGAGGAAAAAGGGGGGAAUUUUAAUUCGGUUUGAAAUUUGUGAAACUGUUGAAUUUCUGAGGGUAAGGGUUGGGAUUUUGGGUUGAAUUGGGUUUCUUUUUCCUUACAAUACCAAUAUUGUAUUUUUUUUGUUUGAGUUUGAUUUUUGAUUGAGAAGAGUUGUGGUUGUUAAUAAUAUGGCGGCAGGGCGACCUGAUGUUUCAAGGAGAAGAGAGUAUUAUGGUUACUACAAAAAAGAUGAACAGGUUGUUCGUUACAAAAAUGGUUCUGGUUAUGAUGAAUUGGGUCAUCAUGGUGGUAAUCACAAGCGCCCUUUUUUGUUAAAUGGGCACAAGAAACG